rnacentral:rRNA from 1 species
AUUGAACGCUGGCGGCAUGCCUUACACAUGCAAGUCGAACGGUAACAGGUCUUCGGAUGCUGACGAGUGGCGAACGGGUGAGUAAUGCAUCGGAACGUGCCUAGUAGUGGGGGAUAACUACUCGAAAGAGUGGCUAAUACCGCAUGAGAUCUACGGAUGAAAGCAGGGGAUCGCAAGACCUUGUGCUACUAGAGCGGCCGAUGGCAGAUUAGGUAGUUGGUGGGAUAAAAGCUUACCAAGCCGACGAUCUGUAGCUGGUCUGAGAGGACGAUCAGCAACACUGGGACUGAGACACGGCCCAGACUCCUACGGGAGGCAGCAGUGGGGAAUUUUGGACAAUGGGCGCAAGCCUGAUCCAGCAAUGCCGCGUGCAGGAUGAAGGCCUUCGGGUUGUAAACUGCUUUCGUACGGAACGAAAAGCCCCGGGUUAAUACCCUGGGGUCAUGACGGUACCGUAAGAAUAAGCACCGGCUAACUACGUGCCAGCCGCCGCCGUAA